UGCAGUCGAACGAUGAAGCCCUUCGGGGUGGAUUAGUGGCGAACGGGUGAGUAACACGUGGGCAAUCUGCCCUUCACUCUGGGACAAGCCCUGGAAACGGGGUCUAAUACCGGAUAAUACUCCUGCCUGCAUGGGUGGGGGUUGAAAGCUCCGGCGGUGAAGGAUGAGCCCGCGGCCUAUCAGCUUGUUGGUGGGGUAAUGGCCCACCAAGGCGACGACGGGUAGCCGGCCUGAGAGGGCGACCGGCCACACUGGGACUGAGACACGGCCCAGACUCCUACGGGAGGCAGCAGUGGGGAAUAUUGCACAAUGGGCGAAAGCCUGAUGCAGCGACGCCGCGUGAGGGAUGACGGCCUUCGGGUUGUAAACCUCUUUCAGCAGGGAAGAAGCGAAAGUGACGGUACCUGCAGAAGAAGCGCCGGCUAACUACGUGCCAGCAGCCGCGGUAAUACGUAGGGCGCAAGCGUUGUCCGGAAUUAUUGGGCGUAAAGAGCUCGUAGGCGGCUUGUCACGUCGGAUGUGAAAGCCCGAGGCUUAACCUCGGGUCUGCAUUCGAUACGGGCUA
rnacentral:rRNA from 2 species